rnacentral:rRNA from 1 species
GACGAACGCUGGCGGCGUGCUUAACACAUGCAAGUCGAACGGAAAGGCCCUGCUUUUGUGGGGUGCUCGAGUGGCGAACGGGUGAGUAACACGUGAGUAACCUGCCCUUGACUUUGGGAUAACUUCAGGAAACUGGGGCUAAUACCGGAUAGGAGCUCCUGCUGCAUGGUGGGGGCUGGAAAGUUUCGGCGGUUGGGGAUGGACUCGCGGCUUAUCAGCUUGUUGGUGGGGUAGUGGCUUACCAAGGCUUUGACGGGUAGCCGGCCUGAGCGGGUGACCGGCCACAUUGGGACUGAGAUACGGCCCAGACUACUACGGGAGGCAGCAGUGGGGAAUAUUGCACAAUGGGCGGAAGCCUGAUGCAGCAACGCCGCGUGCGGGAUGACGGCCUUCGGGUUGUAAACCGCUUUCGCCUGUGACGAAGCGUGAGUGACGGUAAUGGGUAAAGAAGCACCGGCUAACUACGUG